UUUUCAUUAUAAAUGUCUAGGAUCGUAUCCAACAGUCAAACUAGUGUCACAAUGGUACCUUUGAAGGGCAUUUCCAGGUAGCCUCCAGACUUGCCCCAUCUCCUCCAGCACCACAAGCAAUAGGAAUCUAAUUUCGUAAGGCACAGACUGUUCUCUUGUGAGACAUGCUAGUGCUCACUAGGGUAUGAUCCAUCCCAAACUUGCUUCUCUGGGCUGAAUGAACACCCAGCUUGUAGGGGGAAUGAACGGGCAACAGAAGCCUUUACAUAAAAGUCCCACUGACUGAGUCACAGCUCACCAAGUCUCGUAACUAGAAAUAGAGCCACUUUCUCCUGCCCCGUGGCGGGUCAAAGGGGCACCUGCUCGGAGCACUGCGCACACUCGUGAGCACUAGUGGGUCCCUGGGCUUCUUCCCCGGGCAUGUGAUGCUACAGAACAUUUGCUAUGCCAGUCUCUUCACGUUUCAUAAUGAUGUCAAUCAGGCAUUCCCCACACUUUUAAUCAAGCCUCUGAACUGGAAAGUCGGCCCUCCCCCCACCUCCACCCGCAUGCUGGAGGCUGUUCUUGCUCAGGUCUUCUUAGUCCUUAUUUAUCCUGAGUCUUUAGAAUGAUUAUUCCUUUCAAAUGACUUCAUGUGGGACACGGAUGAGGGGGAUGAGGCACAUGGGGAUAUACAACUAGGAGAGGGCCAUAAAAGAUGCGUUUAUGGGGAGCCUGUGUCACAAAAGCACUUCCAGGCCACAUGCAGUUGGCUGGCCCAUGAGUGCAAACGGCACCACAGGCCCAGGGGGUGCAGGCACGUCUGUGUCAUAGGAGGUUCUGGCCGUACCAGGCUCCCUGCUGGGAGAGUCAGACACACUCCACGUUCAGCAGCUUGUCAUGUGGGGGCAGGGAGGGUGGUUUAUUUGUAUUAUUUAUACGCAAGGGAAGGCCCACUCCUCGGGGCCCUUCCCAGUGUCCUUCUCCCCCUGCCUGUGCAUGGCCUGCCCGUCCUCCACGAACAAGACAAGGCCUCUUCCCCGGCCACAAGUUCAAAUCCCGGCACUGACAUUUACUAGCCAUGGAACUCUGCAUAAAUGACCCGGGCCCUGAAUCUCCGGUUCCUUGUCUGUACCCUGGAGAUAAAGACGCCUGUCCUGGAAGGCUGUGCAGAAUAAACCAAGCCUUGUGUGUGUGUGUGUGUGUGUGUGUGUGUGUGGAAGGCUCCUACCUCAUUCUUACACAAUGUCUGGCACACAGGAGGCUUUGUCUUCCCCUCUCCAGCCUGAACUGAUUCAUACUUUUAAUCAUGUGUGUUCACACAUUAUCUCCCCAAUUUUGAAGAAUCCCGUUGUUUUCAUGAUUCCCACCCACUGUAUGGGCCGUGUGCACAACUAAGGUCCAAGGUACUGAACAGGUGGAUCGUCUCCCCCACAUCCAGUCGUAUCCGGUCAUGUUUCCGGAGGAAACUACUCUGAGUCCCAGAUACAGCUGAUCCCCACUCCGUCCCUUCAGCUCCCUGUGCCCCUUCUUCCAAACAGAUGCUUCUGCCACUUGGAAUGCCCUUAAGAAUGCUCAGAUGCCAAGGUAUCCAUUCAUGUGAUCAUUUCUUGAGUGCAUUUCUCUCGGGUUGACUUCUCGAGUCCACAAACAUUUCCUGGGUACAUACUAUGUGCCAAUGAGAGCCACUGGGGAUCCACAGCUAUACCUAGCAACAGUAAGACACGAUUCCUGCCUCCCCUGGAGGCAACUGAAGAUGAUCAUAGGGGAAGGUAAUACACACUCAAAAGGAUACAGCGUACCAGAUGCUAAGAGAAGAAGUAUAUGGGAGCCUCAUGGGACAACGCGGAGGAAGCCAUAAUUCUGUAAACCUUAUUCUGAAAUGAAAAAAAAAAAAAAAACAGACAGUGCCUUGGAGAUGGACCUUUAAAGCACAGAACUUUGUUGAAAUAGGAGGUAAAAGGGAAAGCUCAUCCUAGCUUGUUACAAAAUAGGUCAACACUUAUUAAGGCAAAUGUCACUCCAAAGAAACCCUCAGGAUUGCCAAGUCCUUGUCAGUACGUUUUCUCAUGUUAGGCAAUGUACGACGCAAAACAAAAGAGGUUUCCUGCCACUCAGACUUGGAAUUCGGUCCAAUCCGUUCCACACGUAGUCCCAGCAUGAGAUGUUAAGGACAUAGCACCAGACGAGGUGAAGAAAGGAAGGAAGGAAGGAAGGGAGUGGGAGGGAGCGAAAGAGAGACAGGGAGAAAGGAAGGAAAGUCAUGAGAGCUCUCGGCCGAUUCCUGGCAGGGACUGAAUCUGGGAGAAAAGAUGUGCCCUGAUGGAAGGGGAAUCUGAUGGGUUAAAUGGGCAGAGAAGCAGGUGGCAGUAGCCAGUGAACGACAGGAGAAAUGCACAGUCAUAAGACUCUGGUCUUCCCAGGUGGACGAUCAAGGUCCCAGGCGGAGAACCCAAGAUCAGGAGGAGGAGGAGGCCCUCCUGUGCGGAUGCUGGAGUAGCCUUGUGUCCCCUGACAAGGAACGGCUCCCCUACACAGCUCAUGCUCACACAAACCACCCCAUCAAAAGCAGACUGGGAGAGUAGGUCUUGUGUGCGUGGACCCCACAGCCAGACAAGUCCCACACCUAGCCAUCGAGCUACUAUGAAUACCUGAAGGAGUUGUCUGAACAGUUUUCCCAGGAAGACUCUUCCUGCUGUUGUGGUUAUUGCUCAGGGCCCCUUUCCCCAACUCGUUGUUUCUGUAGCAACUCAACCCUCUACAGGCAGCCAGAGAGGAAACAAAGGCUUCCUCGAGGGCAGGUGUUGCCCACCCCUGGGUCCUGCUCCCCACCCCACCAGGGCACAGUAAAGCGAGUGCCUGGCACAUGGUGGUGGUCAUGCAACACCCGGUUUGGGUCAAGCCAAGUGAAACAAUGAGAAAACGGACCCCUGAAACAUCACAUAUACAGAGUCUCCCCGGGAAGAAACGUCCCUGGUGCUGCCUGGCUCAGAUCCACUCCACGUGACCGGCUCCAAAUACUAAGGAUCCAAGGAUUCGCUUUGCGUGAAAGGAAACUUCCUUCCCGAUCCUGAGGUUGCCUCCCUCUUUAGAGGCCGCCUGCGAAGAAGGCUGUAAUGCCGAAAUCUUCAAACUGGCCAUAAGCCCUGCCCACAGCGACCGCGCAAAACUCGCGGGUCCUCAGGAUCUGGCCAAGGGGAAACCUGAGCUGCAGGAGUAACUGGAGACUCGGGCAGUUGACCCGCUGGUGAUCUGGAGGCAGCUGCAGCUGAGUGGCGAGUUUAAACCAACUCUCACUGGGCAAGAGCCGGCUACCCACUUCCCUGCAAGACCAAGAGCCAGGCUGACUCCAGGCUGACACACAGCAUGGGACGGGGAGGGGGCUGCUGCAGACCAGCUCCGCUGGGUCAGGGAGCACAGGGUAGCUCCAGGCCAGCUCUCUCUCUCUAUGGACCCCUGGGCAUGUGGAACCCCCACCCCCACCACUCCCGACCAGGGGUCUGCAUGCUUCCUGGAGGCUCUCAGUGCCUCGCCUCGUCCCAGGGAGGACCUGGGUUUUUUUAUUUGUUUGUUCGGUCUGUUUAGGGCUGCGCCUGUGGCAUAUGGAGGUUCCCAGGCUAGGGGUCGAAUGGGAGCUGUAGCGGCUGGCCUACACCAUAGCCACAGCAAUGUGGGAUCCGACCUAGGUCUGCGACCUAUACCACAGCUCAUGGGAACACCACUAAGCAAGGCCAGGGAUCGAACCCAUGUCCUCAUGGAUACUAGUUGGAUUCAUUACCGUUGAGCCACAGUGGGAAUUCUAGGAGGACCUGUUUUAAGAAUGGUGACAGUCUGGGUAGCAGCUGGUGAACUGAAAGCUCUGUAGACAGCUGGCGAU
ensembl:lncRNA